GAUGAACGCUAGCGACAGGCCUAACACAUGCAAGUCGAGGGGCAUCACAUGAGGCAGCAAUGCCGAUGGUGGCGACCGGCGCACGGGUGAGUAACACGUAUGCAACCUGCCUUCAACAAGGGGAUAACCCGUUGAAAAACGGACUAAUACCCUAUAAUACAGGGGUCCCGCAUGGGGAUAUUUGUUAAAGAUUGAUCGGUUGAAGAUGGGCAUGCGUUCCAUUAGCUGGUUGGUGAGGUAACGGCUCACCAAGGCAACGAUGGAUAGGGGAACUGAGAGGUUUAUCCCCCACACUGGUACUGAGACACGGACCAGACUCCUACGGGAGGCAGCAGUGAGGAAUAUUGGUCAAUGGACGCAAGUCUGAACCAGCCACGUCGCGUGAAGGAAGACGGCCCUACGGGUUGUAAACUUCUUUUGUAAGGGAAUAAAGUGUAGUACGCGUACUAUUUUGCAUGUACCUUACGAAUAAGGAUCGGCUAACUCCGUGCCAGCAGCCGC
rnacentral:rRNA from 1 species